rnacentral:rRNA from 1 species
GCAUGGUUGUCGUCAGCUCGUGUCGUGAGAUGUUGGGUUAAGUCCCGCAACGAGCGCAACCCUUGAUUUUAGUUGCCAGCAUUUAGUUGGGCACUCUAAAGUGACUGCCGGUGCAAGCCGGAGGAAGGUGGGGAUGACGUCAAAUCAUCAUGCCCCUUAUGACCUGGGCUACACACGUGCUACAAUGGAUAGUACAAAGGGUCGCGAAGCCGCGAGGUGGAGCUAAUCCCAUAAAACUAUUCUCAGUUCGGAUUGUAGGCUGCAACUCGCCUACAUGAAGCCGGAAUCGCUAGUAAUCGUGGAUCAGCAUGCCACGGUGAAUACGUUCCCGGGCCUUGUACACACCGCCCGUCACACCACGAGAGUUUGUAACACCCGAAGUCGGUAGGGUAACCUUUAUGGAGCCAGCCGCCGAAGGUGGGACAGAUAAUUGGGGUGAAGUCGUAACAAGGUAGCCGUAUCGGAAGGUGCGGCUGGAUCACCUCCUUU